rnacentral:rRNA from 1 species
UACAGAGGUCCCAAGCGUUGUUCGGAUUCACUGGGCGUAAAGGGUGCGUAGGCGGUUGGGUAAGUCUGAUGUGAAAUCUCACAGCUUAACUGUGAAACUGCAUUGGAUACUAUUCGGCUAGAGGAAUGGAGGGGAGACUGGAAUACUUGGUGUAGCAGUGAAAUGCGUAGAUAUCAAGUGGAACACCAGUGGCGAAGGCGGAGUCUCUGGACAUUUCCUGACGCUGAGGCACGAAAGCCAGGGGAGCAAACGGG